rnacentral:rRNA from 1 species
UACGUAGGGCCCAAGCGUUGUCCGGAAUUAUUGGGCGUAAAGAGCUCGUAGGCGGCUGUCCACGUCGGAUGUGAAAGCUCGGGGCUCAACCCUGAGAGGCCAUUCGAUACGGGACGGCUAGAGGUAGGUAGGGGAGAUUGGAAUUCCUGGUGUAGCGGUGAAAUGCGCAGAUAUCAGGAGGAACACCGGUGGCGAAGGCGGAUCUCUGGGCCUUACCUGACGCUGAGGAGCGAAAGCUGGGGGAGCGAACAGG